UACGUAGGGUGCGAGCGUUAAUCGGAAUUACUGGGCGUAAAGCGUGCGCAGGCGGUUGCGCAAGACAGAUGUGAAAUCCCCGGGCUUAACCUGGGAACUGCAUUUGUGACUGCACGGCUAGAGUGUGUCAGAGGGGGGUAGAAUUCCACGUGUAGCAGUGAAAUGCGUAGAUAUGUGGAGGAAUACCGAUGGCGAAGGCAGCCCCCUGGGAUAACACUGACGCUCAUGCACGAAAGCGUGGGGAGCAAACAGG
rnacentral:rRNA from 1 species